UAACACAUGCAAGUCGAACGAGACCUUCGGGUCUAGUGGCGCACGGGUGCGUAACGCGUGGGAAUCUGCCCUUCGGUUGGGAAUAACACAGAGAAAUUUGUGCUAAUACCUUAUAAUGUCUUCGGACCAAAGAUUUAUCGCCGAGGGAUGAGCCCGCGUAGGAUUAGGUAGUUGGUGGGGUAAUGGCCUACCAAGCCGACGAUCCUUAGCUGGUCUGAGAGGAUGAUCAGCCACACUGGGACUGAGACACGGCCCAGACUCCUACGGGAGGCAGCAGUGGGGAAUAUUGGACAAUGGGCGAAAGCCUGAUCCAGCAAUGCCGCGUGAGUGAUGAAGGCCUUAGGGUUGUAAAGCUCUUUUACCAGGGAUGAUAAUGACAGUACCUGGAGAAUAAGCUCCGGCUAACUCCGUGCCAGCAGCCGCGGUAAUACGGAGGGAGCUAGCGUUGUUCGGAAUUACUGGGCGUAAAGCGCGCGUAGGCGGUUACUCAAGUCAGAGGUGAAAGCCCGGGGCUCAACCCCGGAACUGCCUUUGAAACUAGGUAACUAGAAUCUUGGAGAGGUCAGUGGAAUUCCGAGUGUAGAGGUGAAAUUCGUAGAUAUUCGGAAGAACACCAGUGGCGAAGGCGACUGACUG
rnacentral:rRNA from 1 species